UUUGAGAGUUUGAUCCUGGCUCAGGAUUAACGCUGGCGGCAUGCCUAAUACAUGCAAAUCGAACGAAGUACUUGUACUUAGUGGUGAACGGGUGAGUAACACGUAUCCAAUCUACCCUUUGGUUGGGGAUAACUGGUCGAAAGACUAGCUAAUACCGAAUACCAAUACUAAUAUCGCAUGAGAAAGUAUUGAAAGAUCCGUUUGGAUCGCCUUUGGAUGAGGGUGCGGCAUAUCAGAUAGUUGGUGAGGUAACGGCCCACCAAGUCAAUGACGUGUAGCUGUGCUGAGAGGUAGAACAGCCACAAUGGGACUGAGACACGGCCCAUACUCCUACGGGAGGCAGCAGUAGGGAAUUUUUCACAAUGGGCGAAAGCCUGAUGGAGCAAUGCCGCGUGAAUGAUGAAGGUCUUAAAGAUUGUAAAAUUCUUUUAUUUGGGAAGAAUGGUUUCAAGAGGAAAUGCUUGGAAUUUGACUGUACCAUUUGAAUAAGUAUCGGCUAACUAUGUGCCAGCAGCCGCGGUAAUACAUAGGAUGCAAGCGUUAUCCGGAUUUACUGGGCGUAAAACGAGCGCAGGCGGAUUAGCAAGUUUGGUAUGAAAGGCUUUUGCUUAACGAAAGUUUGUAUCAAAAACUGUUAAUCUAGAGUGUAGUAGGGAGUUCUGGAAUUCCAUGUGGAGCGGUGGAAUGCGUAGAUAUAUGGAAGAACACCAGUGGCGAAGGCGAGAACUUAGACUAUCACUGACGCUUAGGCUCGAAAGUGUGGGGAGCAAAUAGGAUUAGAUACCCUAGUAGUCCACACCGUAAACGAUGGUUAUUAAAUGUCGGCAUGAUUUAUGUCGGUGUUGAAGCUAACGCAUUAAAUAACCUGCCUGGGUAGUACAUUCGCAAGAAUGAAACUCAAACGGAAUUGACGGGGACCCGCACAAGUGGUGGAGCAUGUUGCUUAAUUUGACGAUACACGUAAAACCUUACCUAGGUUUGACAUCUCCUGCAAAGUGAUAGAAAUAUCAUGGAGGUUAACAGGAUGACAGGUGGUGCAUGGUUGUCGUCAGCUCGUGUCGUGAGAUGUUGGGUUAAGUCCCGCAACGAGCGCAACCCCUGUCGCUAGUUAUUUUAUCUAGCGAGACUGCUACCGCAAGGUAGAGGAAGGUGGGGAUGACGUCAAAUCAUCAUGCCCCUUAUAUCUAGGGCCGCAAACGUGCUACAAUGGGCAGUACAAACUGUUGCCAAGUCGUAAGAUGGAGCUAAUCAGAAAAAGCUGUUCUCAGUUCGGAUUGAGGGCUGAAAUUCGCCCUCAUGAAGUCGGAAUCACUAGUAAUCGCGAAUCAGACAUGUCGCGGUGAAUACGUUCUCGGGUCUUGUACACACCGCCCGUCAAACUAUGGGAGCUGAUAAUAUCUAAAAACGUUAUGUUAACCGCAAGGAGGCAGAUGUCUAGGAUAGGAUUGGUAACUGGAGUUAAGUCGUAACAAGGUAUCCCUACGAGAACGUGGGGAUGGAUCACCUCCUU
rnacentral:rRNA from 1 species